rnacentral:rRNA from 1 species
UACGGAGGGGGCUAGCGUUGUUCGGAAUUACUGGGCGUAAAGCGCGCGUAGGCGGAUUGGAAAGUCAGAGGUGAAAUUCCAGGGCUCAACCUUGGAACUGCCUUUGAAACUACCCGUCUGGAGUUCGAGAGAGGUGAGUGGAAUUCCGAGUGUAGAGGUGAAAUUCGUAGAUAUUCGGAGGAACACCAGUGGCGAAGGCGGCUCACUGGCUCGAUACUGACGCUGAGGUGCGAAAGCGUGGGGAGCAAACAGG